rnacentral:rRNA from 1 species
AUACGUAGGGGGCGAGCGUUGUCCGGAAUGACUGGGCGUAAAGGGCGCGUAGGCGGCCCGGUAAGUCUGGAGUGAAAGUCCUGUUUUUAAGAUGGGAAUUGCUUUGGAUACUGUCGGGCUUGAGUGCAGGAGAGGUAAGUGGAAUUCCCAGUGUAGCGGUGAAAUGCGUAGAGAUUGGGAGGAACACCAGCGGCGAAGGCGACUUACUGGGCCGUAACUGACGCUGAGGCGCGAAAGCGUGGGGAGCGAACAGGAUUAGAUACCCUGGUAGUCCACGCGGUAAACGAUGAAUGCUAGGUGUUGCGGGUAUCGACCCCUGCAGUGCCGGAGUAAACACAAUAAGCAUUCCGCCUGGGGAGUACGGCCGCAAGGUUGAAACUCAAAUGAAUUGACGGGG